CCCUUAGAUGUCCUGGGCCGCGCGCGCGCUACACUGAGUGUCUGAGAUAUGAGGCAUGCCUGGUCCGGCGAGGUCUAGGUAAUCACGAAAAGGCACAUCAUGCUUGGGAUUGAUUAUUGCAAAUUUUAAUCAUGAACGAGGAAUUCCUAGUAAGUGCAAGUCAACAGCUUGCGUUGAUUACGUCCCUGCCCUUUGUACACACCGCCCGUCGCUACUACCGAUUGGAUGGUUUAGCGAGAGCCUUGGAUUGGAGCCCAGGUGGUCGGCAACGGCCGCUCGGGAUGCCGAGAAAUUGCUCCAGCUGACUCAUCUAGAGGAAGUAAAAGUCGUAACA
rnacentral:rRNA from 1 species